rnacentral:rRNA from 1 species
UUCUUGACCUCAAAUCAGGUAGGACUACCCGCUGAACUUAAGCAUAUCAAUAAGCGGAGGAAAAGAAACUAACAAGGAUUCCCCUAGUAACUGCGAGUGAAGCGGGAAAAGCUCAAAUUUAAAAUCUGGCGGUCUCUGGCCGUCCGAGUUGAUAAUCUAGAGAAGUGAUGCCCGCGCUGGACCGUGUACAAGUCUCCUGGAAUGGAGCGUCAUAGAGGGUGAGAAUCCCGUCUUUGACACGGACUACCAGGGCUUUGUGGUACGCUCUCAAAGAGUCGAGUUGUUUGGGAAUGCAGCUCUAAAUGGGUGGUAAAUUCCAUCUAAAGCUAAAUAUUGGCGAGAGACCGAUAGCGAACAAGUACCGUGAGGGAAAGAUGAAAAGAACUUUGGAAAGAGAGUUAAACAGUACGUGAAGUUGCUGAAAGGGAAACGCUUGAAGUCAGUCACGUUGGCCGGGAAUCAGCCUCGCUUUUGCGUGGUGUACUUUCUGGUUGACGGGUCAGCAUCAAUUUUGACCGCUGGAAAAAGGCUUAGGGAAUGUGGCAGCUUCGGCUGUGUUAUAGCCCUUUGUCACAUACAACGGUUGGGAUUGAGGAACUCAGCACGCCGCAAGGCCGGGUUUCGACCACGUUCGUGCUUAGGAUGCUGGCAUAAUGGCUUUAAGCGACCCGUCUUGAAACACGGACCAAGGAGUCUAACAUGCCUGCGAGUGUUUGGGUGGAAAACCCGAGCGCGUAAUGAAAGUGAAAGUUGAGAUCCCUGUCGUGGGGAGCAUCGACGCCCGGACCUGAACUUUUGUGACGGAUCCGCGGUAGAGCAUGUAUGUUGGGACCCGAAAGAUGGUGAACUAUGCCUGAAUAGGGCGAAGCCAGAGGAAACUCUGGUGGAGGCUCGUAGCGAUUCUGACGUGCAAAUCGAUCGUCGAAUUUGGGUAUAGG